GACGAACGCUGGCGGCGUGCUUAACACAUGCAAGUCGAGCGGUAAGGCCCUUUCGGGGGUACACGAGCGGCGAACGGGUGAGUAACACGUGGGUGACCUGCCCUCAGCUCUGGGAUAAGCCUGGGAAACCGGGUCUAAUACUGGAUAUGACUCCAUGACGCAUGUUGUGGGGUGGAAAGCCUUGUGCGGCUGAGGAUGGGCCCGCGGCCUAUCAGCUUGUUGGUGGGGUGAUGGCCUACCAAGGCGACGACGGGUAGCCGGCCUGAGAGGGCGACCGGCCACACUGGGACUGAGACACGGCCCAGACUCCUGCGGGAGGCAGCAGUGGGGAAUCUUGCGCAAUGGGCGAAAGCCUGACGAAGCGACGCCGCGUGAGGGAUGACGGCCUCGGUU
rnacentral:rRNA from 1 species